UCUUGAUUGAUCCCUUCUCCAAUCAACUUGAUAUGGCCCUCUGGGUGACAUAAUUUGUGGCCUGUUUGGUAUACCAUUAUUAAUAGGUGGUUGCAUAGGUGUUGCCAAUGGUCCCUGAUGAGCCAAGUGCUGCGGAAAAUUAUGGCCUAAUGGAUAUGGAGGACGCUGCAAGGGUGGAGGGGCUUGUGGCCGCCACUCAGGGAUGUCAUCAUCAUCGUCAUUCCACGAUGGACCAACAUUGUUAGCACCAGUUUGUCCAUACUUUAGUAUAAGUUCCCUCAUUUGGUCUACAGGGCGAGAAGGGGGUGUUUGGUUAUACGGGUUCAUUCUUGACCCAUGGUGGUACAUGUUUUGAGAUGGGUGCCUAGGCCUAGAAGCAUUUAUGUUGCCAGUAAAAUUAAACUCAGGCAAAUCAUCAUCGUCACGACCAGCUUUGGGACCAAACCCAGGUGGGAUGUCAUCGUCAUCAUCCACUGCAGGAUCAUUUUUCACAGACAUGGGCAUAGGGAUCGAAUUUACAUUAACGUUUCCAGCUUUUUCAUGCUGUUGUCCUCCCUGUUGUUUUUUCAAACUGUGUUUAUGGUGUGAAGACGAGUUAGGUGAUAUUGUUG
rnacentral:misc_RNA from 1 species